AAAGGGAUGCCCUAGUACGGCGAGUGAAGCGGCAACAGCUCAAAUUUGAAAGCUAGCCUUCGGGUUCGCAUUGUAAUUUGUAGAGGAUGAUUUGGGGAAGCCGCCUGUCUAAGUUCCUUGGAACAGGACGUCAUAGAGGGUGAGAAUCCCGUAUGUGACAGGAAAUGGCACCCUAUGUAAAUCUCCUUCGACGAGUCGAGUUGUUUGGGAAUGCAGCUCUAAAUGGGAGGUAAAUUUCUUCUAAAGCUAAAUAUUGGCGAGAGACCGAUAGCGCACAAGUAGAGUGAUCGAAAGAUGAAAAGCACUUUGGAAAGAGAGUUAAAAAGCACGUGAAAUUGUUGAAAGGGAAGCGCUUGCAAUCAGACUUGUUUAAACUGUUCGGCCGGUCUUCUGACCGGUUUACUCAGUUUGGACAGGCCAGCAUCAGUUUCGGCGGCCGGAUAAAGGCUCUGGGAAUGUGGCCUCCACUUCGGUGGAGGUGUUAUAGCCCAGGGUGUAAUACGGCCAGCCGGGACUGAGGUCCGCGCUUCGGCUAGGAUGCUGGCGUAAUGGUUGUAAGCGACCCGUCUUGAAACCACGGACCAAA
rnacentral:rRNA from 1 species